UAGGGUUGAGCUGGCUUCUAGGAGUAUGUGCUUGCCCUAUCGGUUUUUCUACUCUCCACUGUGCACCUUUUUGUAGGCUAUGAUAACYCCUCAGUUCUCUUUGGACUGGAUAAGAGAACUUGCAAAUAGCUUGAUCUCACUUUCAUAGCCUAUGUUCAUAUACACACUCUGUAUCAAGUCUUUGAAUGUAAUCUUGUUGGUCUCUUUGAUGGACCGAUAAAACUUAUAAUACAACUUUCAGCAACGGAUCUCUUGGCUCUCGCAUCGAUGAAGAACGCAGCGAAAUGCGAUAAGUAAUGUGAAUUGCAGAAUUCAGUGAAUCAUCGAAUCUUUGAACGCACCUUGCACUCCUUGGUAUUCCGAGGAGUAUGCCUGUUUGAGUGUCAUUAACUUCUCAAACCUUUCAAGUUUAUUGGAAAGGCUUUGGAUGUGAGGGUUUUGCUGGUACACUUCUUGUAUAUGNAUCAGCUCCCUUGAAAUGCAUUAGUGGUUACUUGGUCCACUUUCAUCUGGUGUGAUAGUUAUCUACGCCUUUGAAAUGAUCACUUUGCUAUCCGCUUCUAACUAGUCUAUCUUUUAUAGACUCUUGACCAAUUUGACCUCAAAUCAGGUAGGACUACCCGCUGAACUUAAGCAUAUC
rnacentral:rRNA from 1 species